GAUGAACGCUGGCGGCGUGCCUAAUACAUGCAAGUCGAGCGAACGGACGAGAAGCUUGCUUCUCUGAUGUUAGCGGCGGACGGGUGAGUAACACGUGGAUAACCUACCUAUAUGACUGGGAUAACUUCGGGAAACCGGAGCUAAUACCGGAUCAUAUUUUGAACCGCAUGGUUCAAAAGUGAUAGACGGUCUUGCUGUCACUUAUAGCUGAAGCCGCGCUGCAUUAGCUAGUUGGUAAGGUAACGGCUUACCAAGGCAACGUUGCAUAGCCGACCUGAGAGGGUAGUCGCCCACACUGGAACUGAGACAGGGUCCAGACUCCAACGGGAGGCAGCAGUGGGGAAUCUUCCGCAAUGGGCGAAAGCCUGACGGAGCAACGCCGCGGGGGUGAUGAAGGUCUUCGGAUCGUAAAACCCUGUUAUUGGGGAAGAACAGAUGUGUAAGUAACUGUGCACAUCUUGACGGUACCUAAUGAGAAAGCCACGGCUAACUACGUG
rnacentral:rRNA from 1 species